rnacentral:misc_RNA from 1 species
CAGUGUUUCGGUUGCGGUGCGCCCCGCCCUUGGGCGGUGGUGCGCCCUCCAAACCCCCACCCGUGAAUACUCGACCUUCUGUUGCUUCGGCGGGCCCGCCCCUGGGCCGCCGGGGGAUCUUCCCCUGGCCUGCGCCCGCCGAGGAAUCGUCUGAACUCGAUCUUGAAUGUGUGGCUGUCUGAGUGGGCUUGCGAAUCGUUA